UACGAAGGGGGCUAGCGUUGCUCGGAAUCACUGGGCGUAAAGCGCACGUAGGCGGCUUCUUAAGUCAGGGGUGAAAUCCUGGAGCUCAACUCCAGAACUGCCUUUGAUACUGGGAGGCUCGAGUCCGGGAGAGGUGAGUGGAACUGCGAAGUGUAGAGGUGAAAUUCGUAGAUAUUCGCAAGAACACCAGUGGCGAAGGCGGCUCACUGGCCCGGUACUGACGCUGAGGUGCGAAAGCGUGGGGAGCAAACAGG
rnacentral:rRNA from 1 species